GACGAACGCUGGCGGCGUGCCUAAUACAUGCAAGUUGAGCGCUGAAGGUUGGUACUUGUACCGACUGGAUGAGCAGCGAACGGGUGAGUAACGCGUGGGGAAUCUGCCUUUGAGCGGGGGACAACAUUUGGAAACGAAUGCUAAUACCGCAUAAAAACUUUAAACACAAGUUUUAAGUUUGAAAGAUGCAAUUGCAUCACUCAAAGAUGAUCCCGCGUUGUAUUAGCUAGUUGGUGAGGUAAAGGCUCACCAAGGCGAUGAUACAUAGCCGACCUGAGAGGGUGAUCGGCCACAUUGGGACUGAGGCACGGCCCAAACUCCUACGGGAGGCAGCAGUAGGGAAUCUUCGGCGAUGGACGAAAGUCUGACCGAGCAACGCCGCGUGAGUGAAGAAGGUUUUCGGAUCGUAAAACUCUGUUGGUAGAGAAGAACGUUGGUGAGAGUGGAAAGCUCAUCAAGUGACGGUAACUACCCAGAAAGGGACGGCUAACUACGUG
rnacentral:rRNA from 1 species